AAUCUGCUUACGUACAUGUGAGAGAAGUAAAAAUGUCAGAUGAUAUCAGGAAAAGGUUUGAAUUUCCAAAUUCUCUUAUCCAAUCACAGGCUGCAGGUCAUCUUAUUGCUGCAGUUCUAAAGGAAAAUGGUUUUUCAGGAAAGAUCCAUCAGUCCACAAACCAGACUCCUGCUUUGAACUUGCUGUGGGAGAAGUGUUGCAGUGAUAAUGUCGUGGUUCGAACAGCCUGCUGUGAAGGUCUGGUAGCCCUUGUCGCUCAGGAUCUUGCGGAGUUCAGCUAUGUUCUCAAUGGGAUUCUCAACCUGAUUCCAUCAACCAGGAAUACACACGGCUUGAUAAAAGCCAUUAUGAAAUUAUUACAAAUGCAAGCUGUUAAGGAAGGACAUGGUGGAGAGAAGAAUAUUCAGGAUAUAUAUAAUAUUAGAAACCAUCCUCAGCCUUUGAUCACUGUGCUUGAACACAGACCUGAUUGCUGGCCAGUACUUUUGCAACAGCUGACAACUUUUUUCCAGCAAUGCCCUGAAAGAUCAGAAGUUUCAUGUAUCCAAAUAAUGGCACCGUUUCUAUGGUAUCUGUAUUGUGAACCAUCACAGUUACAAGAAUAUGCUAAACUCCGACUAGCUCUGCUCAAAGUCUUACUUCACCCCCGGGUUCCCUGUGACAAAGAACAACCAUCAAUAUUGGAACAACAGAUGCUACAACUGUGUUGCGACAUGGUUCCAUGUUUGCAGAUGAGAGAUUUGAUACAGACAACAGAAGCGAUGCUGUUUAUCGAAGAAGUGUAUUUAAGCCUUUUGCGUCAUCCUGUUUUCUGGAAAAUUCAGCUUAUCCAGAUGACCCUUCAGCUGCUGUGUGUCUGUGAAGUCAGCUUAAACAUAACUGGAGAAUGCUCAUCUUUAAUUCACCUUUUAGAGCACAGUGUUGAACUUCUGAAGGAGGAUUUUCCUGUUGAACCAGUCAUCAUUGGAAUAGCUUUACUACUACUACAGACUCCGGCAAGUCAGCAGAAGCCAAUCUUAAGUCUAGCUCUGAAGCUUCUCUCUUCUGCUGAGGGUCAGAAAAUCCCAAAGUCCUCCUUGCUGCUAGUGAUGCCAGUUCUGCAGAUAUUAUCUUCUACUGCCUUGAAAGACUGUAUAUCCCCAGACGAAGAAGGACCCUCUAGGCAGCAGUUGGCUCUAAACAUUUUAGAAAUGGUACAGCAGGAGUGCUACAGAGACGACCACCAAAAGCUCUCCUACAAGCUUGUGUUCCCCAUAACCAGCACGUAUGGUUCAAUAUUUACAGCCUGGAGGAUCCUUGAAGUAAUGAGAGAAGAGUCUGCGACAAGUGACUGGUUAGCUUCCGUAGAGUCAUUGCUUCCUAUUACCACAGCUAUCCCUGCGCAUGUUUUUCUUCUGCUGGCUUACCUCCUUGUUGAAGAUAAAGGACGAAAUCUUCGUCAGAUACUGAAGGUCACUACAGAAUUUGCCCAAGCUGAUUCCUCUCAGGUACCAAAUCUGAUUCCAGUUUUGAUGUUCAAAUUAGGAAGACCACUGGAACCUGUGUUAUACAAUGAUAUCUUGUAUACUUUGCCUACGCUUGGUGUUCACAAGGUGUGCAUAGGACAAAUUCUACGAGUAAUUCAACUUCUUGGAACCACUCCGCAACUAAAAGCUAUCACUCUGCGCUUGUUGACUUCUUUGUGGGAAAAACAGGAUCGUGUCUAUCCUGAACUGCAGCGUUUGAUGGCCAUGUCCGACGUGCCCUCUCUGUCUGUGGGCAAGGAGGUCCAAUGGGAGAAACUGAUAGCUAAAGCAGCAUCGAUCAGAGAUAUAUGCAAGCAAAGGCCAUAUCAGCAUGGUGCAGAUAUGUUGGCAGCUAUUUCCCAGAUGUUGAAUGAAUGCACUAAGCCUGACCAAGCUACUCCAGCAGCCUUGGUGUUACAAGGUCUUCAUGCACUCUGCCAGGCUGAGGUGGUUUGUAUUCGCUCCACUUGGAAUGCUCUUUCCCCAAAGCUGAGUUGUGACAUGAGACCUCUCAUUUUGAAGACCCUCAGUGAACUGUUUUCUCUGGUUCCUUCCUUAACAGUCAAUACAGCUGAAUAUGAGAAUUUUAAAGUUCAAGUCCUCAGCUUCCUCUGGAACCACACUCAAAACAAGGACCCAGUUGUAGCAAAUGCUGCAUAUAAAUCUCUGUCACACUUCGGUGCCAGGGAGCACACCAUUCUUCAUCUGCCUGAAAAGGUAAGACCAGAAAUCCAGAUUCCUGAUGAUCUAGAUGAAGAUGAUGAGGAGGGUGAUGAAAAGGACGUGGAUCUUUCCAUUCCUGGUUCUUGCUAUCUCAAACUGUUGUCACUCACUGCUCCUUCCGUUUUACCAGCUUUGGAGGAAUUUUUUACAUCACUUGUGAAGCAAGAAAUGGUGAAUAUGCCCCGUGGGGUGUAUCACUCUGCAUUAAAAGGAGGUGCCCGCUUAGAUCAAGGAAAGACUGUAGCAGGGAUCCCCAAUUUUAUGUUGAAAAUGUAUGAAACAAACAAGCAACCAGGUUUGAAGCCUGGCCUUGCAGGUGGUAUGCUAUUUUGUUAUGAUAUUUCAAUGUAUCAGAGUAAAGAUGGCAAACCAUUGAAUAGACUGAUGGCCAAUAGAGGGCGAAGUUUCAAGCAGACUUCACUCGCUCUAGUGCAUGAGGUUCACAUCCAGCUUUCCGAGUGGCACCGUGCAAUUUUUCUCCCACAGGCCUGGCUCGCAUAUAUGACUCGUGCUUAUCAUGCCAUUUUACAGGGGAGGAUAGGAGAGCUGGAGUUGCAGUUAAAACAUGGAAAAGAAGGACCUGAGGAGGUGCAAUACAAAAAAAGCACAGCCUGGCUCUGGGUUCGAGACAUGUUGACUGAUGAGGUCACCAAAGCAGCUGCAAAAGACAGCCCAGUGGUCAAAGGCAACGCACUGCUAGCCUUAAGCAGCCUUGCUGUCGUCGUUUCCAGACAUGAAGCCAGCCUCUCCUCAGACUCUGAGGGUGUCCUGGAGGUUCAACCUAAUUUCCUUUCAAUGAAAGUGUGGGUUUCCAUGGUGUUUGAUACUCUUCUGGUCAUUGUCAAUAGCCAUUACCAACCCAGAGGACAACUUUUCUCCUGGUUUUAUUAUAAAUCCUAUUCUGGUGAAAACACAGCUAGUGCCAUUGCACGUUCUGCGGCCGCCACGGCUUUGUCUCUCCUCGUGCCAGUUUUCAUUAUCUCUUGCAAAGAGAAGGUUGAGGAAAUCCUGAACAUGCUGACUGCCAGGUUACCUGGGAAACCAAGUGCUGAUGAGUCUCAAGCCGUGCAAAUCCACAUGGGCCUUGCUUUGGGGAUGUUUCUCUCUCGCUUGUGUGAGGAGAAACUCAGUGAUAUAUCUGGCCAACAGAUGAACCUUCUUCUGAUGAAGUCUUUGGAUGCCCUGGAAAACUGCUGCUUUGACACUAGUCUUGAAUACAACACGGGCUGUAUACUGGGAGUUGGACUUGUCUUGUCCCUCAUGAGCCACAGCAGCCGAACAGAGUCGCGAGUUCAUGUGGCAGCCUCGCUUCGGAAGCUCUCCGUGUACCUAGAUGACAGCGGGGGCCAGAGCAGAACCUUUCAGGAGGUCCUUGCCUAUACCCUCAGCUGUGUAUGUACAUCCGCAUUCAGUGCCGGAAUUAUUGAUGCUGUGGAGGCUGAAGAUAUUAUGAAUAAGCUUCGACUGUUAGUGGAGAACAACCAGCAGACUUCAGGUUUUGCCCUGGCAUUAGGAAACAUAGUUCAUGGUUUGUCUGUGUGUGGACAUGGAAAAGCUGAAGACUUGGGCAACAAACUGCUCCCUGCCUGGAUCAGAAUUGUUCUAACAGAGGGCACCUCCACAAUGCUUUGUUUGGCAGCUCUUCAUGGCAUGGUGGCCUUGGUAGGCUCUGAAGGGGAUGUAAUGCAGCUGAAGUCGGAAGCCAUCCAGUCCUCUCAUUUUCAAGGCAGACUUAAUGAAGUCAUUAGAACUUUAACUCAGGUCAUCAGUGUGUCUGGGGUGAUUGGUCUUCAGUCAAAUGCAAUCUGGCUUCUAGGACAUCUUCAUCUGUCUACUCUGUCCUCAAAUCAAAGUAGAACCUCGGUUCCUACCGACUAUAGCUAUUUACCUGAAAGCAGCUUUAUUAGAGCAGCCAUUGGCUUCUUCAUUACAGGAGGAAAAAAAGGUCCUGAAUCUGUGCCUCCUUCCCUUCUCAAAGUUGUGAUGAAACCCAUAGCAACUGUUGGAGAAAGCUACCAGUAUCCUCCUGUGAACUGGGCUGCACUCCUCUCUCCACUUAUGAGGCUAAACUUCGGUGAAGAGAUUCAGCAACUGUGUCUUGAAAUUAUGGUGACCCAGGCUCAGUCAUCCCAGAAUGUAGCUGCACUGUUGGGAAUAUGGGUGAUGCCGCCACUGAUCCAUGGUCUGAGUCUGAAUAUCAAGAAAUACCUCCUGCUAUCUGUGCCUUCGUGGAUAAAACACGUCUCUGAUGAACAGAUCGUGGGUUUUGUUGAAAGCUUAAUGGUGACAGUUUUUAAAGCAGCUUCCCCACUCUCCAAACCUGAGUUAUGUCCGAGUGCCUUACAGGGUCUGAGCCAGGCCAUGAAACAGCCCAGCCCUGCCUACCACCUCUGGAGUCUGCUCAGCAAAGCUACUGGGAAAAUUUUUGACCUUCUGCCAAAUAAGAUUCGGAGAAACGAUCUAGAGCUGUAUAUCAGUGUAGCAAAAUGCCUCUCGGAAAUGACAGACGAUGAAGCCAAUCGGGUUGCCCAGAUUACUGAGAACAGCCUAGAAAAGGCUGCCUUUGUCAGACUAUACUUGGUCUCUCAAGGACGAUUCCCCUUGAUGGGCUUGUCUGAUGUGCUCAGUGUUGCUGUUCGGCACCAUGAAAAAGACACACUGGCCUGGAUGAUACUGCACAGCUUAUACCAGGCACGGAUUGUGAGCCACGCCAACACCGGCGUGUUGAAGAGAAUGGAGUGGCUCUUGGAACUGAUGGGUUAUAUCAGAAAUGUUGCUUACCGGUCAGCGUCUGUUCAGAACGUGGCUCUUAACGAGGCUUUGGAUUUCUUGUUGCUGAUAUUUGCAACAGCAGUGGUUGCAUGGGCAGACCACGCUGCCCCUCUGCUCCUUGGCCUCAGUGCCAGUUGGUUGCCAUGGCAUCAGGAAAACGGUCCAGCUGGGCCAGCAUCAAGGUUCCUUGGCAGGAGUCCCUUGCACAGGGUCACUGUGCAGGAGGCUGUCACUCUCCUUCCCAGUAGCAUGCCUCUUCUGCUGCAGAAAGAGCCAUGGAAGGAACAGACCCAGAAGUUCAUUGACUGGCUAUUCAGCAUCAUGGAAAGCCCUAAAGAAGGCCUCUCAGCAAAGUCCAGGGAUCUUUUAAAAGCCACCCUGCUGUCCUUGAGAGUUCUCCCAGAGUUUACGAAGAAAGCUGUAUGGACCAGAGCGUAUGGUUGGUGAACAGUUUUGCAGUAGCCAGCAGCAUUCUCAGCUGGAUGACAGAAGGAAUUUUUCAGAAUUCGUGUCUGGGCUUACUGAGACGAUGCAGAGAGCUGAAGGUCAUGAAAGGGUGGCCACACAACCGACAGCUUGAACCGUGCAUGCCAGGACAGGGGCCACUGCUUCAGUACCCAGGCCAUUUGAGACUGAAACAAGAACUUGGAUUUUCUUUUAUUUGGCUAGAGUUCAAUCUAAAGAUUUUUUGUGAAAAUCUAAUUAUAUCAUCUCCUCCCCACUAAAUUCUAGUAAAAUAAUCCUGUGAAUUUUGUGCAUGUGACUUUUGUUUUAAGGCAUGGGGAAGGUUUUGCUAGCAAAACCAAACUGUUGCAGUGACAGUGGAAUCUGAUCUGUUUCCCAUGAAGUCUCCAGAGGAUAUUCAUUGACUCAGUCACAGCUCUUUCUUUUGCUGAACUCCGUAGGGUGCCGAGAUGCUUACAGAAAAGGAGGAAGGGAAGGCGAGCUCUCAGGUAGUACUUAACUACAUCACCAAGUAUUUCAUCUCUAUUACUUCUUUAGAGGCUGAGCUGGAGGGAAAUGAGUUUGGAGGAAGCAGAAGCAUAGAAAAUUUACGUGAGAAGCCAGCGUCUGUCUCCUUCCCGCCCACCUUGGCUUUCUCAUACUACCUACCAAUAAGAUGCUGACAUUCUUCUAACACUUAUUACUAGUUGUCAGACUAUAUAAGUGACUAGAGUAUCACUUGUAUUAUCUUAUUUAACCCUUGCAACAAUACUGUGAAGAGGCAUUAUUUUCUAGUUUUAAAUGAAGAAAACACAUCUAAUAAGUGGCAGAGCUACUACACCUGGAACCAAGGUCCUAGAAACCCCAGGUCCAAUGCUCUUUCUACUGCAUCAGGCUCAUCAGCACCCAAUUUCAGAUGAAAACUCCUACCAAGUAUUAAGCCUCAUUCAUGCUUAAUAUAGAUUGCUGGAAUCAGAUAAAAGAAACACCCCUGCCUCAUAUUAAUAAGACUCUGGAAUUGGGAAGUUGGGAGUUAUGUGUAAAGGAGCAGGUCUUCAUGGGUUGAAGGACAUUACGUUCCUGGGCCAGCUAGCAGAUGUGGACGGCAGUAAAGAAUAGGGAAGAGGAAAUGGGCACUGAAGAACUACUCUCGUGUUUCCCCACAAAUCAGUGGGCAGACUUGCUGAUGUUCAAGGAGAGGGAUAAAGAAUCAGCCCAGCCUCCCAGACCCAGACUGCCUUUUUCAGUUUGGCCCAGUUUCUUCUCAGUCAGACUUUGUCAUUGCUCCUGCCUUGACAAGAAAACAGAAUAGUACAAAAGGGAGGAAAUAAGAUCUACCUGUAUCCUCUCUUCCCUAGCUCCCUCUUUUUGUUUUCAGCAGUCUUGUCUUUAAGCGUCAUAGGAUUUUUCUAUUCAUUCCUAUUCAUUUGGACUCCAUAAAGAGUCCAAAAUGUCAAAAUCUAAAUUUGAAGCUGUAAAGGUUCUAAACUUUAAUUAUUCUAAGAUGUAGAUCACUGGCAUAAUAAGAUCCUUUCUCCUGGUUACCUGUCUGAGCUCCAGUAAGAAUUAAGAUAUUCCCUUGGGAUAUUUCAGUUUGUUCUCCAGAAACCAGAAGUCUCUGCUUUUUUGAGACCAGACGUUCCAAACUAUAUACAAAAGGAAAAGUUUCCUUAUAAGUCAUCUUCUGUUAGUUUUUGAAAUCACAAGUUGCCAAGACAAAUAGCAUGCUAGGGUAUACUAACAAAUCAAUGUGUGGGAUUAAGGCUAUGUUGUGUGUCUCAGAUGUGUCCAAACACUGUGACUCUUCACUUGAAGAGUGUACAUUUGGAACAGAUGUUGAGAUCCGUGCAAGUGCCUAAAAUCUUUGUGCUUUAUUUGUAAUGUAAUGGCUCCAUGGUAACCAAGAGGCUGUUAAUCACCUUUUUUUUUUUGAAGUUAAUUGCCACAAGUUAACUUCUCUAAAAUGAUUUUAAGGGCUUCCCUGGUGGCGCAGUGGUUGAGAGUCCGCCUGCUGAUGCAGGGGACACGGGUUCGUGCCCUGGUCUGGGAAGAUCCCACAUGCCGCGGAGCGGCUGGGCCCAUGAGCCAUGGCCGCUGAGCCUGCACGUCCGGAGCCUGUGCUUCGCAACAGGAGAGGCCACAACAGCGAGAGGCCCGCGUACCGCACAAAAAAAAUAAAUAAAUAAAUAAAAAAUAAAAUGAUUUUAACCAAAGAUGAUAUUAUAAUAAUAUAAGGAGUAAAACUUUAAGGACUUAACUACUAUCUUGAAACAUCUUAGUCACUUUGAAAGUAAGUAGUAGUUUUAGGUUUUUGGUAAACAUUUUAACAAAUUGCUGUUUUAGAAGAGAAAUCUGACCAUGUGGUUAAGAGGAUGGGGCCUUCAUUAAGGCCAGAGUUGUAAGCUAGGUCUUUAGGUCUCUGACCUCAACCAGCCUAUUCAUAGCUACAGGCAUUUCAAAUGGAACCAGAGGACAGAAUGUGGCUGGGACAGUUCACAUCUUUCACCACUCUUAUGGAAAGAUACCUCACAUCAUCAUCUUCAUGUAUAAAUGUAUAUCAUCACUGCUCUGGUGCUGGAUAUAUGCUUUUAUAUUUUCUGAAAGGAAACACUUUAUUCUAAUCCUAGAAACUUUAAAGUCUCAUCUUUUUAAUAUAUGACACAUAAAAUAUUUAUGAAGUUGUGAGUAUGCAUGUAAUCUGUUAAUGUUCAUAAACCAAAAUUCUUUGAAAUUGCAAUUUAGAAAGAUCAUCUGAUUCUUGUCACAGGGAACGUGAAAUAAUGGCCAGCCAAACUAUUAGAAAUGGAACUGAAUAAAAACGACAUUGAUGACUCCCUGACUUUGGUUUUA